CAAUUACUGAAAAUAAUAUCGAACGGAUAAAUUUAAUAUUGCAAUUUUUUACAAGAGUAUAUAGUUCUUGAAAGUAUUUUCUCUUUCCAUUUGAAGGGAGGAGAGCUUGCUGGAGAAGCGCCGUGAAGGCCUUCAAGCGCAGCAGUUUCAGGGCAGCGUCAACGUCCCUCAGCAGAUGGACAAGAAGGUGAAAACACGCUUACGAUUGAUUCUUCUGUUUUUACUAAACACCAUAGAGCUUUGAUCUACAGGAUUUUAUGAGAUUUUGUUUCGCUGCUAUACCCGAUUGUUGAAGAACAAAUUAGUACUAGUUCAUUAAUGUUCAAUUUCGAAUUUGGCCUGGAAGGUUAAUUUUUUCACUAAUUAUGCUUUUUGAUCGCGAUAUAAAGUUCAUUUUAAUUCAUGAAGAAACGUGAGAUGAGAAUAGUUUGAUUCCGUUUGUCUUUGCUCUAGAUCGAAUAAUACUUCGGUUUUGUGCUAUUGGCUUUUCAUUUUUCAAUCUUUCAGUUAAAAAGUCCACCGGAAAUGAUCGCUGGCGUUUGCUCAAAUGACGGCACACUGCAACUCGAGGCCACAACUCAGUUUCGCAAACUUCUUUCAAUAGGUAAUUCAUUAAUUGUCUUCAUCGAUUCUAUUUAAUUUGAAAUGGACCUUAUUACUGUUUAUUGCUACUUUUUUCUUUCAGCUGAUUCUGUUUGCAUUUUAUUUGUUUUUUGCCUCGGAACGAAAUCCACCAAUUGAGGAACUAAUACAAUCUGGAGUUGUUCCUCGAUUUGUUGAGUUUCUUGCAAGAGAUGGUUACCCACAGAUGCAGGUUUAAAUUUGUGCUAAUAGUUGUUUAUUUCGUGUGUUUCAAUUGCUAAUUUUUUUGGGAUCAUGCAUUGUGUUAUUCCAUUUUCUAGUUUGAGGCAGCCUGGGCUCUUACACAUUGCAUCUGGGACAUCUGAUAACACCAAGUUAGUAAAUAACCAUUAUUUAAUUGCAUCUCAAGUUCCCAUUCUUCAUAUAAUAUAACACACAGUCCUUUAAUUAUAAUAAUAGAAAAUUAAAUCCCUAACUUUCUAUUUUAUUUUAUUUUCGGCCCUUAAGUACUUGUAUUUACGAAUCGGACCCCAUGAAAAUCCUUAUUUGACUUUGAUCAGUUGAAUUUUUUACUUUGAUUAAAUAAAUUCUUGACUUUGAGCAGAAAUGAGUGGGUGUAACAGGGGGGACUCGGAAAAUGUUAUAAAUGUUUAGUGAUACCAAUGAAUUGAAAUUUUUGAUAGUGGAAAUAUGAAGGGAUUGGUCAAUUCUUUGAUGAACCCUUUUUCAACUACGUAUCAGCUGGUGAGAUCUACACUAAUACUCUCAUGAGCAUCUUCAGAUAGUCAAGUUGGCUACCAUCUAAAUAAAACUCUAAUAAGAAUUCUACCGUUGAUGGAUGUAAGCAGUGUUAUCUUUUUCACGAACUCACUUAUCUUCAAUGUUUUUCAAGUUACUAUUGAGGAUGGGGCUCUCCCUUGUCCGCUGAACUAAUUGUUGGACAGUAAUUGUUGAUUUCCUUCAUUUUCUACCAAAUAUUUUAAGGCAUAUUUGGUCACACUAAUGGAGUGGAUCAGACAACUCAAUGGAUAAGAUUUUGAACUUUUUUUCUCCAUUCUACUCUGUUAGAUCUCAAUUUGUUAUUGGUUUUCUCCAUAUCCAAAAUCUAGGUGAGUUGAGUUAUAAUUGAGUUGUAAUUAAAGUCAAAAUAGUUGGGGACCAAGAUGUCCAAGAAGAUCACAUAUGAUCAAUGGGAUGCAAUUAGAAGCCUAAAGAGUUCAAAGAGGUGCACAAGUCAUCUUGCA
rnacentral:lncRNA from 1 species